rnacentral:rRNA from 1 species
ACACUCCUGCGGGAGGCAGCAGUGGGGAAUAUUGGACAAUGGGCGCAAGCCUGAUCCAGCCAUGCCGCGUGAGUGAUGAAGGCCCUAGGGUUGUAAAGCUCUUUCACCGGUGAAGAUAAUGACGGUAACCGGAGAAGAAGCCCCGGCUAACUUCGUGCCAGCAGCCGCGGUAAUACGAAGGGGGCUAGCGUUGUUCGGAUUUACUGGGCGUAAAGCGCACGUAGGCGGACUAUUAAGUCAGGGGUGAAAUCCCGGGGCUCAACCCCGGAACUGCCUUUGAUACUGGUAGUCUUGAGUUCGGGAGAGGUGAGUGGAAUUCCGAGUGUAGAGGUGAAAUUCGUAGAUAUUCGGAGGAACACCAGUGGCGAAGGCGGCUCACUGGCUCGAUACUGACGCUGAGGUGCGAAAGCGUGGGGAGCAAACAGGAUUAGAAACCCCAGUAGUCCCA